rnacentral:rRNA from 1 species
CCUACGGGUGGCUGCAGUGGGGAAUAUUGGACAAUGGGCGAAAGCCUGAUCCAGCCAUGCCGCGUGUGUGAAGAAGGCCUUCGGGUUGUAAAGCACUUUCAGUGGGGAAGAAAGCCUUGGGGCUAAUACCCUCGAGGAAGGACAUCACCCACAGAAGAAGCACCGGCUAACUCCGUGCCAGCAGCCGCGGUAAUACGGAGGGUGCGAGCGUUAAUCGGAAUUACUGGGCGUAAGGCGCGCGUAGGCGGUCUGAUAAGCCGGUUGUGAAAGCCCCGGGCUCAACCUGGGAACGGCAUCCGGAACUGUCAGGCUAGAGUGCAGGAGAGGAAGGUAGAAUUCCCGGUGUAGCGGUGAAAUGCGUAGAGAUCGGGAGGAAUACCAGUGGCGAAGGCGGCCUUCUGGACUGACACUGACGCUGAGGUGCGAAAGCGUGGGUAGCAAACAGGAUUAGAUACCCCAGUAGUC